UGAGGAAUAUUGGUCAAUGGGCGGAAGCCUGAACCAGCCAUGCCGCGUGCAGGACGACGGCCCUACGGGUUGUAAACUGCUUUUCCGGGGGAAGAAUAAGGCCCACGCGUGGGUCGAUGCCGGUACCCCGGGAAUAAGGAUCGGCUAACUCCGUGCCAGCAGCCGCGGUAAUACGGAGGAUCCGAGCGUUAUCCGGAUUUACUGGGUUUAAAGGGUGCGUAGGCGGGCCCCUCAGUCAGCGGUGAAAGUCUGCGGCUCAACCGUAGGAUUGCCGUUGAUACUGGGGGCCUUGGAUUCGGUCGAGGCGGGCGGAAUGCGUGGUGUAGCGGUGAAAUGCUUAGAUAUCACGCAGAACGCCGAUUGCGAAGGCAGCUCGCCGGGCCGAAAUCGACGCUGAGGCACGAAAGCGUGGGGAUCGAACA
rnacentral:rRNA from 1 species